GAUGAACGCUGGCGGCGUGCCUAAUACAUGCAAGUCGAGCGAAUGGAUUAAGAGCUUGCUCUUAUGAAGUUAGCGGCGGACGGGUGAGUAACACGUGGGUAACCUGCCCAUAAGACUGGGAUAACUCCGGGAAACCGGGGCUAAUACCGGAUAACAUUUUGAACCGCAUGGUGCGAAAUUGAAAGGCGGCUUCGGCUGUCACUUAUGGAUGGACCCGCGUGGCAUGAGUUAGUUGGUGAGGUAACGGCUCACCAAGGCAACGAUGCGUAGCCGACCUGAGAGGGUGAUCGGCCACACUGGGACUGGGACACGGCCCAGACUCCUACGGGAGGCAGCAGUAGGGAAUCUUCCGCAAUGGACGAAAGUCUGACGGAGCAACGCCGCGUGAGUGAUGAAGGCUUUCGGGUCGUAAAACUCUGUUGUUAGGGAAGAACAAGUGCUAGUUGAAUAAGCUGGCACCUUGACGGUACCUAACCAGAAAGCCACGGCUAACUACGUGCCAGCAGCCGCAGUAA
rnacentral:rRNA from 1 species